rnacentral:rRNA from 1 species
GACGAACGCUGGCGGCGUGCUUAACACAUGCAAGUCGAACGAGAACGACCGAGCUUGCUCGGUCUGGUUAGUGGCGAACGGGUGAGUAACACGUGAGCAACCUGCCCUUCACUCUGGGAUAACCUCGGGAAAUCGGGGCUAAUACCGGAUAUGAGCUCCUGUCGCAUGGCGGGUGUGGGAAAGUUUUGCGGGGAAGGAUGGGCUCGCGGCCUAUCAGUUUGUUGGUGGGGUAGGGGCGCACCAAGGCGAUGACGGGUAGCCGGCCUGAGAGGGCGACCGGCCCAACUGGGACUGAGCUACGGCCCAGCCUCCUACGGGAGGCAGCAGUGGGGAAUAUUGCACAAUGGGCGAAAGCCUGAUGCAGCGACGCCGCGUGAGGGAUGACGGCCUUCGGGUUGUAAACCUAUUUCCGCAGGGACGAAGCGAAAGUGACGGUACCUGGAGAAGAAGCGCCGGCUAACUACGUG